rnacentral:misc_RNA from 1 species
GGAAGGAUCAUUACCGAGUGCGGGCCCCGCGCGGGCCCAACCUCCCACCCUUGUCUUCUGAACCAUGUUGCUUCGGCGGGCCCGCCUGUCCAGGCCGCCGGGGGGCCCCUGUGCCCCCGGGCCCGCGCCCGCCGGAGACCCCAACACGAACGCUGUCUGAAUGCUUGCAGUCUGAGUCGAUUGUACACAAUCAGUCAAAACUUUCAACAAUGGAUCUCUUGGUUCCGGCAUCGAUGAAGAACGCAGCGAAAUGCGAUAAUUAAUGUGAAUUGCAGAAUUCAGUGAAUCAUCGAGUCUUUGAACGCACAUUGCACCCCCUGGUAUUCCGGGGGGUAUGCCUGUCCGAGCGUCAUUGCUGCCCUCAAGCCCGGCUUGUGUGUUGGGCCGUCGUCCCCUCGCCCCGGGGGGACGGGCCCGAAAGGCAGCGGCGGCACCGCGUCCGGUCCUCGAGCGUAUGGGGCUCUGUCACCCGCUCUGUAGGCACCGGCCGGCGCCGGCCGACCCCCAACCAUUUUUUUCUCAGGUUGACCUCGGAUCAGGUAGGGAUACCCGCUGAACUUAAGCAUAUCAAUAAGCGGAGGAAAAGAAACCAACCGGGAUUGCCCCAGUAACGGCGAGUGAAGCGGCAAGAGCUCAAAUUUGAAAGCUGGCCCCUCCGGGGUCCGCGUUGUAAUUUGCAGAGGAUGCUUCGGGUGCGGCCCCUGUCUAAGUGCCCUGGAACGGGCCAUCGGAGAGGGUGAGAAUCCCGUCUGGGAUGGGGUGUCCGCGCCCGUGUGAAGCUCCUUCGACGAGUCGAGUUGUUUGGGAAUGCAGCUCUAAAUGGGUGGUAAAUUUCAUCUAAAGCUAAAUACCGGCCGGAGACCGAUAGCGCACAAGUAGAGUGAUCGAAAGAUGAAAAGCACUUUGAAAAGAGAGUUAAAUAGCACGUGAAAUUGUUGAAAGGGAAGCGCUGGCGACCAGACUCGCCCGCGGGGUUCAGCCGGGAUUCGUCCCGGUGUACUUCCCCGCGGGCGGGCCAGCGUCGGUUUGGGCGGCCGUUUAAAGGCCCCGGGAAUGUAGCGCCCUCCGGGGCGCCUUAUAGCCCGGGGUGCAAUGCGGCCAGCCCGGACCGAGGAACGCGCUUCGGCACGGACGCUGGCAUAAUGGUCGUCAACGACCCGUCUUGAAACACGGACCAAGGAGUCUAACAUCUACGCGAGUGUUCGGGUGUCAAACCCGUGCGCGCAGUGAAAGCGAACGGAGGUGGGAGCCCCCCCGAGGGGCGCACCAUCGACCGAUCCUGAUGUCUUCGGAUGGAUUUGAGUAGGAGCGUAGCUGUGGGGACCCGAAAGAUGGUGAACUAUGCCUGAAUAGGGCGAAGCCAGAGGAAACUCUGGUGGAGGCUCGCAGCGGUUCUGACGUGCAAAUCGAUCGUCAAAUUUGGGUAUAGGGGCGAAAGACUAAUCGAACCAUCUGGUAGCUGGUUCCUGC